rnacentral:rRNA from 1 species
UGCUAAUACCGCAUAAGACCACAGUGUCGCAUGGCACAGGGGUCAAAGGAUUUAUCCGCUGAAAGAUGGGCUCGCGUCCGAUUAGCUAGAUGGUGAGGUAACGGCCCACCAUGGCGACGAUCGGUAGCCGGACUGAGAGGUUGAACGGCCACAUUGGGACUGAGACACGGCCCAGACUCCUACGGGAGGCAGCAUG